rnacentral:rRNA from 1 species
UAGGGAAUCUYCGGCAAKGGACGCAAGUCKGACYGAGCAACGCCGCGUGRGUKAGGAAGGUUUUCGGAUUGUAAAACUCUGUUGKUAGGGAAGAACAAGUWCSKUYUGAAUAAGGCGGUACCUUGACGGUACCUAACGAGAAAGCCCCGGCUAACUACGUGCCAGCAGCCGCGGUAAUACGUAGGGGGCAAGCGUUGUCCGGAAUUAUUGGGCGUAAAGCGCGCGCAGGCGGUUUCUUAAGUCUGAUGUGAAAGCCCACGGCUCAACCGUGGAGGGUCAUUGGAAACUGGGAAACUUGAGUGUAGGAGAGGAAAGCGGAAUUCCACGUGUAGCGGUGAAAUGCGUAGAGAUGUGGAGGAACACCAGUGGCGAAGGCGGCUUUCUGGCCUAUAACUGACGCUGAGGCGCGAAAGCGUGGGGAGCAAACAGGAUUAGAUACCCUGGUAGUCCACGCCGUAAACGAUGAGUGCUAGGUGUUAGGGGUUUCGAUACCCUUAGUGCCGACGUUAACACAAUAAGCACUCCGCCUGGGGAGUACGGCCGCAAGGCUG